rnacentral:rRNA from 1 species
GUGUGAGGUAACGGCUCACCAAGCCAAAGAUCCGUAGGGGUCUGAAAGGGAGAGCCCCCAGAAGGGCACUGAGAUACUGGCCCUAGCCCUACGGGGUGCAGCAGGCGCGAAAACUUUCCAAUGCACGCAAGUGUGAGAAGGAAAUCCAGAGUGCUUAAGAUUAAUCUUAGGCUUUUGCCAUGGGUAAAUACCAUGGAGAAUAAGUGGAGGGCAAUACCUGUGCCAGCCGCCGCGGUAACCCAGGAUCCACAAGUGGCAACCGCUUUUAUUCGGCCUAAAGCGUCCGUAGCUGGUUUUGUAAAUCUUCUGUGAAAUUUCGUGGCUUAACCACGAAGCGCGCAGGAGACACUGCAUGACUUGGGACCGGGAGGCGUGAGGAGUAUUUUUGGGGGAGCGGUAAAAUGUUAUAAUCCCAAAAGGACUACCUGUGGCGAAGGCGCCUCACGAGAACGGAUCCGACAGUGAGGGACAAAGCUAGGGGAGCAAAACGGAUUAGAUACCCGAGUAGUCCUAGCCGUAAACUCUGCAAGCUAGGUGUCGCGUAAUCUUCGGGAUUGCGCGGUGUCGUAGUGAAGAUGUUAAGCUUGCCGCCUGGGAAGUAUGGUCGCAAGGCUGAAACUUAAAGGAAUUGGCGGGGGAGCACUACAAGGGGUGCGGCGUGCGGUUUAAUCCAACUCAACGCGGAGAAUCUCACCAGGAACGACGGCAGGAUGAAGGUCAGUCUGAAGGGCUUACCCAACGAGCCGAGAGGUAGUGCAUGGCCGUCGUCAGCUCGUGCCGUGAGGUGUCUUGUCAAGUCAAGCAACGAGCGAGACCUGUGCCUACAAUUGCUACCGGGUACCAAGGUAUGACUGGGCACAUUGUAGGAACUGCCCUCGAAA